UUGUGCAACCAGCGGAGGGAUCAUUA
rnacentral:rRNA from 1 species